GCGCGAGUGGCGGAACUGGCAGACGCGCCAGCUUGAGGUGCUGGUCCCGGUUUACGGGGUGGAGGUUCGAGUCCUCUCUCGCGCA
rnacentral:tRNA from 1 species